CCACAGGCCCGUAUCUCUGACUGGUGUCUGAAAAACCAAACCAGAGACAGACACACAACAUUAAGUGUUUGCGCAAGCUAAAGAAGAAUCUAAACGAAGAGUUUCAUCUCCUGCACCUGUUACUAUUGUCUGCAAGAGGCCAUUUAUGAGACUCUAAAAGUGGACAUCGAUAUGAAACAAGUAGCAUUAAAAGCAUAUUCAAAUACCUGACCGUCGGGAGACAUUGCAAGGGCUCAAGGAAAAACCUGGCUUCCAGUGUCGACACACUCCAACUGGUGUCCAUUUGCAGUGUUCCAGAAACGAAUGCAUCGAUCAGCAGUUC